AGUGAACGCUGGCGGUAGGCCUAACACAUGCAAGUCGAACGGCAGCACAGUAAGAGCUUGCUCUUACGGGUGGCGAGUGGCGGACGGGUGAGGAAUACAUCGGAAUCUACUUUUUCGUGGGGGAUAACGUAGGGAAACUUACGCUAAUACCGCAUACGACCUACGGGUGAAAGCAGGGGAUCUUCGGACCUUGCGCGAUUGAAUGAGCCGAUGUCGGAUUAGCUAGUUGGCGGGGUAAAGGCCCACCAAGGCGACGAUCCGUAGCUGGUCUGAGAGGAUGAUCAGCCACACUGGAACUGAGACACGGUCCAGACUCCUACGGGAGGCAGAAGUGGGGACUAUUGGACAAUGGGCGCAAGCCUGAUCCAGCCAUACCGCGUGGGUGAAGAAGGCCUUCGGGUUGUAAAGCCCUUUUGUUGGGAAAGAAAAGCAGCAGGUUAAUACCCCGCUGUUCUGACGGUACCCAAAGAAUAAGCACCGGCUAACUUCGUG
rnacentral:rRNA from 1 species